rnacentral:rRNA from 1 species
CAGAGGUGCCAAGCGUUAGGCGGAAUCACUGGGCUUAAAGCGUGUGUAGGUGGAUUGUAAGUACCUGUGAAAUCCCAUGGCUCAACCAUGGAACUGCUCGGUAUACUGCGAAUCUUGAGCCACUUAGGGGCUACCGGAACAAAUGGUGGAGCGGUGAAAUGCGUAGAUAUCAUUUGGAACGCCAAUGGUGAAAACAGGUAGCUGGGAGUGUGCUGACACUGAGACACGAAAGCCAGGGGAGCGAACGGGAUUAGAUACCCCGGUAGUCCUGGCCGUAAACGAUGUCCACUAGAUCGUGGUGGCUCUGACGCCAUCAUGGUCGAAGCAAAAGUGCUAAGUGGACCGCCUGGGAAGUACGGUCGCAAGGCU